AUUGAACGCUGGCGGCAGGCCUAACACAUGCAAGUCGAACGGAGUGGCGGACGGGUGAGUAAUGCCUAGGAAUCUGCCUGGUAGCGGGGGAUAACGUCCGGAAACGGUCGCUAAUACCGCAUACUAUCAGAUGAGCCCAGGUGGGAUUAGCUAGUUGGUGGGGUAAAGGCCUACCAAGGCGACGAUCCAUAACUGGUCUGAGAGGAUGAUCAGUCACACGGGGACUGAGACACGGUCCAGACUCCUACGGGAGGCAGCAGUGGGGAAUAUUGGGCAAUGGGCGCAAGCCUGAUCCAGCCAUGCCGCGUGAGUGAAGAAGGUCUUCGGAUUGUAAAGCUCUUUCGGUAGAGAGGCGUUACCUACAGAAUAAGCACCGGCUAACUUCGUGCCAGCAGCCGCGGUAAUAC
rnacentral:rRNA from 1 species